rnacentral:ncRNA from 2 species
UGCAUAAGUAUUUUGGAAACUUAUAUAUGUCCGAGAUUGGUCGGACGUUUCUACUAACUACCGUAAUAGUUAACUAUAAGUUUUCAUAUCGGGAAC